rnacentral:misc_RNA from 1 species
GGAAAACAAAUCUUCAGUUUGAAUUCAGCAGGUCAAACGGGGUUCCAAGGCGGCAGCCGUGACUCUGGGAAGAUUCAGCUCUGUUUCUGGUUAGUCUAUCCUCAACGUACUGUUCACGCGCCAUGGCAUGGGUUUUCAAAUUCGUUUCGCGUCGGCGUCGCGUUUGGUUCCCUUUCCUUAUUAUAUCAGAAAAAAAAGGAGAAAAAUUAAAAAAGCAAGCGUGAGAAAAAUUUCUUGGGGAGUUCGAUGAUCAGACAGGUCAAAAAAGCAACAAAAAGUCCCUAUUAGCCGUCCAAUCAGCCCCUAUUUAGCAACCCAUACACUGUUAACUAACGCAUACAAAUCACACGCACACGCACACUCUGUCUCUCUCUUUGUCUCCGUGCUGUUCUCUAUUUAAUUAUCUUUGGUUUCUAAGAAAAGUUGGGGUUGAGGGAAGGGAGAAAUAUUGAACUUUGCUUUUCAAUUUACUACCUCUUCCAUCAUACACACGCGGCAUUUUCUGUACGAUAUUUUUGUUGGUGAGUCUUUGUUUUGAUUUUUUUUUUAAUUAUUCCUUUGCUGUUUUAUGUGAUGUUCUUUUGUUUUUUCAUUCAUUUUUUUUUAAUCUUGUUGCUCUUUUUUUGUGAUUUUGUUUUUAAUGAUUCAAAGCAGUUUUAUGGGUUUUCGAUGAUUUUGCUUUUUUUCUGCUCUUCCCUGUUGUGUUACUAAGAAAUUGGAGGAAAAUGAAUAAUAAAGGUUAAAUUUUGGGAAUUUUUCAUUAUUUGGUUGAUAUUGAAAUCAUUUUUUUGUAAAAAGAAGGGAGAUCAUUGUCAAUUUUUUAUUCAAAUUUGUCGUGAUCGAUUUUUUUUUGGGAGUUAUUGACAUUAAUAAUUGUAAUUUUCGCGUGGUGGUCUUUUCGAUAUUGGGUUUUUGUAAAUUGCAAGGUUAAGAUGAUUUUGGUGGUGAAUUGUAGUUUAAAGGCUAGGCGCCGAGUCUAGUAUUGGUGUUUCUUUUUCUCUUCCUUCAUCAUCAGUAAAUGGGCUGCGUUAGUUCUAAAGUUGGAAGGCACGUUCCUGGACAUGAGGACCCCAUAGCCCUUGCUUCACAAACAGCUUGUAAGUUGUUCAUCUGUUCCAUUGAUAUGGCAUUUCAGUUUUAAAAUUUGCUUGGCAGUUUACAUGACAAUAAAAGAUUAGUUGUUGACUCUGACGAGGUCACAGAUUCACGAUCUGAAAACUUUUUUUUUUUUUGGGUUUCUUGGGUCCUUUGAACUUAUGUGUCUCUAGUUGGUUAACGUUACUCAGCUGCCUCCCCUCUUCCCUUUGUUUUUGUUAGAUAGAAUACCUGGGCCUUUGGUAUGUUUUAAAGUAGCAUAUCUAUAUCUACCCAGAGGAGGGGGAACUAAAGAUGUGCGAUUAUAUUGCAAUUCUUUUAUUAUUUAGCUAUGCUGUGUUUUUUUAUCCCAAGAUGCCAAUAUUGUUAAGAUCCCAUAUAGGUUUGGCACAGAUGUGAAAGGUAAUGUACAUGGCCUUGAGCACUCCUCCCCUGAGCUAUCAAAUCUGUUGGGUGAGUUAGGCCCGGCCCGUAGGGGUAAGUUAGCCUGUCUAUUUUCUUAAGAAUGGUAGUAGGCUCUUUCCGAUUAAUGUUUGGGUCUCCGGUAAGUAUUUCACCCUCCAGUGUAGCCGGAGGGGCGUGAGGGGGUAUGAGAUAGGGUAAUGGGUCUUUAUAUGACCUUGGCAUUCCUUCUCCCUUGAGCUAGCUUUUAGGGUGAGUUAUGCCAAAUAUCCUAAACCGUUGACCUUUUUCUUCAAUUUUUUUGAUAUCUGAUUAAAUUUUAUUUCUGCAAAGUAACAAGAUUUGAUGUUUAAUAUCUCAAAUAUGAAAUCAUGGUUCAUAUAUUUUUGUAUUUUAUAUCGUGUAAUAUAUUUAUCAUGCUUCUACUGCAGUUGUUUGAAAGAAAGUCCAAUCUGAACUUAUUUAGUUGUCAUUUAAUUCAGCCUCUUGAUAUGAUACUAAGCUGGAUGUGAACAGUAUCUGUUGAUUUUGUGCAUUCUCAAGUUGGCAUGCCUUUUAUUCUUUGUUCCGCCAUCUCACAUGUUUGUUUUUGUGCCUCUUUGUGGUUUAAUGGGUAGUCACACUAACUUGGUUGCCUUUUGUUUUUUUUUGGGUGUGUGUGUGUUCCUCAGUUAGUGUAAGCGAAGUUGAAGCACUGUUUGAACUAUUCAAGAGCAUUAGCAGUUCUGUUGUUGAUGAUGGAUUAAUAAAUAAGGAGGAGUUUCAGCUGGCUCUUUUCAAGAACAGAAAGAAAGAGAAUCUCUUUGCUAAUAGAAUCUUUGAUCUCUUUGACAUUAAGCAAAAAGGAGUCAUUGAUUUUGGCGACUUUGUUAGAGCACUCAAUGUCUUUCAUCCCAAUGCUCCACGAGAAGACAAGAUAGACUUUUCAUUUAGGCUUUAUGAUUUGGAGAAUACAGGAUUUAUUGAGCGCCAAGAGGUUAAGCAAAUGUUGAUUGCCCUCCUUUGUGAAUCUGAAAUGAAGUUGGCUGAUGAGACGAUUGAGAUAAUUCUUGAUAAGGUAAGUUAUUGCUUCUAAUGGGUCUGUUGUUAACUAACGGUUUUCUAACCAGGUUUUGACUAAUGACUCUCAUGCAUCCCUUUUUUGGUCCACCAUAAUAUCUGUUAAACUAACUAUAUCCCAGGUUUUUUAAAUCCAUCUUUAAAAAAGAAAAAUAAAAUUACAGCAGCAGCAGUUGUGACAAUUAUGGUUUGGCCACAGCACGCCGUAAUAGCAACACUGUUAACUAACAGGUCACAAGUUACAGCCUGGUUAUCUAAGACUAAACAGUACCUUGGCUUGAGUGCACCACUAUGUGAUAAUGUAACAUUGUCAAAAUUUAGAAGAUUUUUAUGUUAUCAAUUUAGAGGCACUUUUGGCAUCUUGGGUGCAGAUGGAUUUGCUUUCAUUCUCAUGGACCACAGAUGCAUAACAAGCUUCAUUUUGUUUUACUAUGCUGGUUUUUGUUUCCAUUUUACUGAGGCAUAGAAUGCACCUGGUCAACUUUUAUCAAACCUAUCAACAAUUAAACAAAAGAAAAAAUGGUUUUGCACAUUUUGAAAAUAUUCGUAGAUUUUCAACUGAUCUGAAUGUUGACGGUUCAUAUCCUAUGUUUGAAUAUCUUUAUUUGGCAAGGGUAUUUUGAGGGUAAACUGAAUAGAAAGUAAAUAUGGAUUACAUUAUACAUGCAUUAAAGGGCAAUGUAUUGUGACAUGGAUUUUAUUGGAUUUAUUUAUUUAUUUUUUAUCAACAAAAAAAUGGUGUUUAAUUUUGUGGGCAGACUUUCUUGGAAGCUGAUUCUGACAGUGAUGGUAAGAUAGACAAAUCCGAAUGGCAGAACUUCGUCUGUAAAAACCCAUCCUUGUUAAAGAUCAUGACACUACCCUACCUA